GUAAUCUACCAUGGAAAAAUGUUUUGGCAGGACUCAAUAGAUAAUUUAGAGAAGCCGAUAAACUCAGCCUGGAAAUGGGAUCGGAAGGUCAAAGGUCAAAGACUUCUAUUCCAAUAUGGUGUGUGACCUUGAGAGAUGAAGGAAUGGAUCGGGGAAAGAAGAAAUACACACAAGUAUUCAUGUAACAGUUCUUGUACAUCUAGAUGUGAAGGUGGAGCGAUGGGGAACGUGAACACCGGGCCUGCUUAGCAACGUGUUCCAGGAACUCAGUAAACGUCAACACGAUGAAGAUCAGGCCCAUCUCGGGCCGAGCUGGGCGUAUCCACACCCUUCCAGACUGUAGUGCCCUCUGUCUCUCCCUCUCUCCACUCUACCCCUCCUCUCUGAGUUCAGUAUUUGUCCUGAGCCUCGGAUCUGCACUCCGAGGCAAUAGCCAGGUGGAGAGUUCUUUGUUGUUGCUGAGACAUUCUUAGAGGUUUGUUACCCACCCUCCUUAAGUAGAGCAGGGCCAUGCAUAUGAUGGGACCACACUGACCCUUGAGGAGUGAUUUGAGAGAUGUGGUGACUGAGGGCCAGGUGCCAGGUGGAUGCUGUUCAGGUUUGAUUGCACAGGAGACUUGUACAUGCCCAGGGUGAGAUCUCAGAGUUCCUGAAAAUGAAUGCAGAAUAGAACUUGUCAGUGCUUUCCAAGCGUCCUGGGGUGAUUCUGCCUCUCGUAUGUCAUCCUUAUUACUUUAUAAUUACCUUAUGACCUUUACUGACUCUGACAGUUGUGAGUCUUAAAAAAAAAAAAGAUUCAAGAAUAUUACCAUUAUGCAGUUGCCUAGAAACAGGGCCUAAAAUACAUCUGGCUUUAAUAGAA